UACGUAGGGUGCAAGCGUUGUCCGGAAUUAUUGGGCGUAAAGAGCUCGUAGGCGGUUUGUCGCGUCUGCUGUGAAAACGCGAGGCUCAACCUCGCGCCUGCAGUGGGUACGGGCAGACUAGAGUGCGGUAGGGGAGAUUGGAAUUCCUGGUGUAGCGGUGGAAUGCGCAGAUAUCAGGAGGAACACCGGUGGCGAAGGCGGAUCUCUGGGCCGAUACUGACGCUGAGGAGCGAAAGCGUGGGGAGCGAACAGG
rnacentral:rRNA from 1 species